AUUUUUAAAGCAUAUUCUCUGUAACGUGUGGCCACUGAAGCCCUUUCCCACUAGGGGUCAGAUAGUGGUUUGGCAGAGAUUUCCUUAAAUGCCUGGAACCAGAAAAACCAAAAACAAGGCACUAAAGGCUCUUUUCGGUCUUUUCAGAUGGGCUCUGUGUCGGGUGCUCCUUCAGUGGCCACCCAGGCCAUGUACUUCCUGCUCACAAGGAGCCUGUAGCUCAGCCGGAGCUGAGAGCUUUGAGCCUUCUCAGGUCUGUUCUGAGCACGUGUCGAGACCAGGCCUCCAUGUGGCCUUCCAGAGCCCUGGAAUACAUGGAAACUUUUCAAAGCCUUGAUUCCCUGAAGUGUGCCCUUCUCAAGCCUCUUUUUUCCCAGGAUUGUUGGUUUUUCUAUUGCUUGACCUAAUUGUUAUCCUUUGUUGCACGUGGCAGCAGCUAAUACAUUUGUCUUUAAAUGUUUUUGGCAAAUGUCACCCAGGAAGCUGCCUUAACCCUGGGGAAGCUCCAGGCAAGCCCUUAAACAGAUCUUUCAGGGAGCUACCAUACAGGUCAAAAUGCAGAACUACAAUUCUUUGAGAGUAAGGUCAGUAUUGGUUUCUCUGGUACCAGUAACCUGCACCAGGGAAGUGGGCUUCUGUCCUCAAGUGUGUAGCUGUGUUGGGGAGUCAGGGUGGUGACAAGGCACGUUAAAAUGCCACAGAGCUCUCUUACCAAAAUUCAGCUUUUUUCUUCGUUAAGCUUUCCCCUUGUUGUUGUAAGUUUUAAGAAUUAGAUUUUAGAGUGCUGAAGAAGUUCAUUGUGGUAAUUUUUCCCAGCUUCUUCAUUGCUGUUGUUGAGGGAUGAAGUUUCAAGGUUCUCUACUCUGCUGUUUUCACUGAUUUCUGCCCAAAGGAGAGAGUGGGUGAGGUGAGUGUGAUAUUACUGGUUCCAAUAAAAGAGUGGCAUCCAGUCCAGAUCCCUUCAGGUUUGGCUGGCAGUCCUCUGAGUUGGAAGGCACUGACCGGCCCCCUGUGUGGGGUCACCUUUGAGGUAUGGACGCAAAUUCUGCCUCAGGUGCCUUCACUCUUCGGGCAUGCAGACUGACAAAAGGCUUUUCAUCUGCCUAGAAGGUUUUCAGUUUUCCUGGAAUAAGUAAAUCCAGGAAAACCUGGCACUGGGAUACUUGGUGAAGGUCUUCACAGAUUCCAAAGUUCAGCACUGGACACAGGCCCUGGGAUGGUGAACUUUUAUGUGACCUGGGAGAAGAUCCAGAAAAGAAUCAAUCCGUCCUUUUACCUGGACUCUUUUGAAGACCCCUGUUUGACAUCCUGCAAACAUAACUCACGCCUCACCUGCCUUGGGCGUUUGGUAAGGGAGAAUCAGGAUGGGCUUUUCAGUCGUCCACGGUGUCUCGAUAUGCCUCAGACACAGAGCUCCCAGAUCAGCGCAGCCCCGGAGGCUGGCGGCUGAGAUCAGAGCGCUGUGCCUGCGCUGAGCGCGCACCACACGAUGCUGAAAUUCCGUCUGGAUCCAGCCACCGCUGGCUCGCUCGGACUCUCUGCGACCUGUGGUGUGUCCCGCUGAGUCCGACGGAGAGUGCUGAGACGUUCCUUCCUCUCUGCUGCUUGUGUCCUGGGCUCCGCUUCAGCUCUGGCUGCUACGUUGGAUGGAAACGGGGAGGAGGGUUGACAUGGGGUGGCGUCUGCGCAGAGUCCGCCUCUUGUCAAGGGACAUUCUCCGUGUCUUUAGAGCUUGAAUUCUGGGUUGGGAGCCUCAGAAGAGGAUAAAAAGUUGCCGUGAUCCCAACCCAGGACCCAUGAACCUUAAAAUUUCAGAAGGCGAGCGUUUUCCUGGUUUUGACCCGAAAGCCAUUUCCUUUUGGGAUGCUUCUGAUGGUUUCCAUCUAUACGCAUUCAAAACUGUGUUUACCUCAGGGCCUUGGCAUUAACCUUCUGUCCUAGGAUCCCAGGACAGGGUGAGAAUGUGGAACCCAUGAAGGUCCCUCCCAAGUGAGCUACAAAUACUGCCGUUUGGCCACAGCCAUCCCGAGAAAACGUGUAAACUCUUCCUAAAAUGAAAAGCAAAUGGGAGAAAACUGUUGGCUUACGUGUGCCCAAGCUCUUCUGUUAUGGCAAGGGGUUUAUAAGGUUGGGAAUACUGAGCGGGUUUUGUUUUGUUUUUUCUCCCUGAUAAGGAAGGCUUAGGAUAGAAAUUGCUAAAAUAAGUCAUUAAUUCCAAGUGGUAGGUUUUGCUUAGGAUGGACCCGGAACAAACCCAAGAGGUACCAUUACAAGUGUGGUUAGGUUUCCUCUUGUAUGUUUCUGAGAAGACAUGUCCAUGAAUUGCUGCUUCCAGAGGAAACCAAGAGACUGUUUCUGAACGGUAUCCAGGAGGAUCUGUGUAAACCGUCAGUGAAAACGCUCCUAGUCAAAACGAGAGAUGUGUGGGUGAGCCGUGAACAAAGAAACCUUAUCCUGUUGAAAGCUUGGACUACCAAAUGAGAAAGGGGACCAAAAUGCAAACGAAGAAUCCAACUGAACAAGGCAAAGGGGGCCUCAGAGUCAGAAGGUUCUUAAAAGGGAAGUGCUUGCAAAGAGAACAAGGAAGUCAAACUUCUGAGGGAUUCACUCCUCAAACAGAGAACUGGACAGGUAUGUAACCAAAUAAACCAGAGUUAUCAAGGUUCCCAAGUUUACAUUAGUCUGUUAGUGGUGGCUAUAGACAACUCCCUCAUGAGAUUAUAAAGACCAAAUAUAUUCUCAGACAUCAACAUAACAAAAUCAGGCUUUAAACUCUUUCUGUUUGGAAAUCCAGGUUUAUAGGAUUUUCAAUAUUUUCGUUUCUUGGAGGAAGAUCUGAACCAGUUAGGAUGACCCUGUAAUGUUUGGUUUAUCUCGGAGUGCAGAGUGCUUGACUUUUCUCCUGACUGCCGUCUGAAGUGCUCCAUCAUGUUGGAAACAGAGCAAUGUGUCAGCAGUGCUGGCCUCUGGCAGCCCUCCUUGGUCAAGUUCCUGCCGCUGAGAAAGUCCUUUUAAUGGUUAUCAAAAUGCAGGGUACGGAGGCUUAAAACAGGCCAACAAGAAAGUGCAGAAACAAUCUACAAACUGGGAGAAGGUAUUUGCAGACACAUAGAGCUGAAGAAGGAAGUAGUAUUCAGAUUAAUCGUAUAAAACGAACAGAAAAAGACAACCAACCAAUGGGAAUACGGUCCAAACGCAUGAAAACACAUUUCACAGGAAGCAGAAACACAAAUGGUGAGUAAACAUACAAAAAGUUGCUCCCCCUGUUAGUAAUUAAGGAAAUGCAAGAAGAGACUGUAAUGACAUACCACAUAAACCCCACUGAAUUGGCUAAAACUAAGUCUUAUAAUCACAAGUCAGUCUCAAAGAUCAGUAGAAACUCUUACACACUGCUGGUGGGAUGAUAAACGUACACAACCGCUUGGACACAAUUUGAGAACACCUUGCUAGUUGAAUGUUCACAUUCCCUAUAACUCAGCAAUUCUACUAGUAUGUACCCUACAACCGCUUCUGCACGUGCACACAAGGAGCCAUCCAUAAGGACAUUCAUAGCAAGACUGAAACGGUAUUUCUACCUUCUUUCCUGCAUGCAUUGAAUAGAUGCAAAGUCUACCUCUCUGGGUGAAGUCACCUAGAAUUUUAGUUAUAUGCAUAACUCCUUAGGGAAGUGCUUAAAAAUUAACAAAGAAGAUUUUUGUAGAACUACUCACUCUUUUUUUAUUCUGGAUAAUUUUAACCUAUCAUCAG